GCAUAUCAAUAAGCGGAGGAAAAGAAACCAACCGGGAUUGCCCCAGUAACGGCGAGUGAAGCGGCAAGAGCUCAAAUUUGAAAUCUGGCCCCUCCGGGGUCCGAGUUGUAAUUUGCAGAGGAUGCUUCGGGUGCGGCCCCUGUCUAAGUGCCCUGGAACGGGCCGUCAGAGAGGGUGAGAAUCCCGUCUUGGGCAGGGUGCCCGUGCCCGUGUGAAGCUCCUUCGACGAGUCGAGUUGUUUGGGAAUGCAGCUCUAAAUGGGUGGUAAAUUUCAUCUAAAGCUAAAUACCGGCCGGAGACCGAUAGCGCACAAGUAGAGUGAUCGAAAGAUGAAAAGCACUUUGAAAAGAGAGUUAAACAGCACGUGAAAUUGUUGAAAGGGAAGCGCUUGCGACCAGACUCGGCCUCGGGGUUCAGCCAGCAUUCGUGCUGGUGUACUUCCCCGGGGCCGGGCCAGCGUCGGUUCGGGCGGCCGGUCAAAGGCCCCAGGAAUGUAUCGUCCUCCGGGACGUCUUAUAGCCUGGGGUGCAAUGCGGCCAGCCUGGACCGAGGAACGCGCUUCGGCACGGACGCUGGCGUAAUGGUUGCAAACGACCCGUCUUGAAACACGGACCAAGGAGUCUAACAUCUACGCGAGUGUUCGGGUGUCAAACCCGUACGCGCAGUGAAAGCGAACGGAGGUGGGAGCCCCUUUGGGGCGCACCAUCGACCGAUCCUGAUGUCUUCGGAUGGAUUUGAGUACGAGCGUAGCUGUGGGGACCCGAAAGAUGGUGAACUAUGCCUGAAUAGGGCGAAGCCAGAGGAAACUCUGGUGGAGGCUCGCAGCGGUUCUGACGUGCAAAUCGAUCGUCAAAUUUGGGUAUAGGGGGCGAAAGACUAAUCGAACCAUCUGGUAGCUGGUUCCUGCC
rnacentral:rRNA from 1 species